rnacentral:rRNA from 1 species
AUUGAACGCUGGCGGCAGGCCUAACACAUGCAAGUCGAGCGGAUGAAGGGUGCUUGCUCCUGGAUUCAGCGUCGGACGGGUGUGUAAUUCCUAUGAAUCUGCCUGGUUGUGGUGUAUAACGUCCUUAAACGGGCGCUAAUACCGCAUACUUCCUGAUGGUGAUAGUUGGGGAUCUUCGGACCUCACGCUAUCAUAUGAGCCUAGGUCGGAUUAGCUAGUUGGUUGGGUAAAGGCCUACCAAGGCGACGAUACGUAACUGGUCUGAGAGGAUGAUAAGUGACACGGGAAGUGAGACACGGAAAAGAGGACUACGGGAGGGAGCAGUGGGGAAUAUUGGACAAUGGGGGAAAGGAUGAUAAAGAAAGGGCGAGUGUGAGAAGAAGGUGUUAGGAGUGUAAAGAAAGUUAAGUGGGGAGGAAGGGAAGUAAGUUAAUACCAUGCUGGAGUGACGUUAACAACAGAAUAAGCACCGGCUAACUACGUG